UACGUAGGGGGCGAGCGUUGUCCGGAAUUAUUGGGCGUAAAGAGCUCGUAGGCGGUCUGUCGCGUCUGCUGUGAAAACUCGGGGCUUAACCCCCGGGCCUGCAGUGGGUACGGGGCAGACUAGAGUGCGGUAGGGGGAGACUGGAAUUCCUGGUGUAGCGGUGAAAUGCGCAGAUAUCAGGAGGAACACCGGUGGCGAAGGCGGGUCUCUGGGCCGUAACUGACGCUGAGGAGCGAAAGCGUGGGGAGCGAACAGG
rnacentral:rRNA from 1 species